rnacentral:rRNA from 1 species
AUUGAACGCUGGCGGUAGGCCUAACACAUGCAAGUCGAACGCGAAAGUCCUUCGGGAUGAGUAGAGUGGCGGACGGGUGAGUAACGCGUAGGAAUCUAUCCUGUAGUGGGGGAUAACGUUUCGAAAGGAACGCGAAUACCGCAUACGCCCCAAGGGGGAAAGCGGGGGAUCUUCGGACCUCGUGCUAUAGGAGGAGCCUGCGUCGGAUUAGCUAGGUGGUGAGGUAAAGGCUCACCAAGGCGACGAUCCGUAGCUGGUCUGAGAGGAUGAUCAGCCACACCGGAACUGAGACACGGUCCGGACUCCUACGGGAGGCAGCAGUGGGGAAUAUUGCGCAAUGGGCGAAAGCCUGACGCAGCCAUACCGCGUGUGUGAAGAAGGCCUUCGGGUUGUAAAGCACUUUCAGUGGGGAGGAAAAGCUGGUGGCUAAUAUCCAUCGGCCGUGACGCUACCCACAGAAGAAGCACCGGCUAAUUCCGUGCCAGCAGCCGCCGUAAGAC